CUACGAGUUUGAUCAUGGCUCAGGAUGAACGCUAGCGGCAGGCUUAACACAUGCAAGUCGAGGGGCAGCGCGAUGUAGCAAUACAUUGGCGGCGACCGGCGCACGGGUGCGUAACACGUAUGGAACUUACCCAUUACUGGGAGAUAGCCCGGAGAAAUCCGGAUUAAUAUCCCAUAAUAAACGAAGUGGCAUCACUUUGUUUUGAAAGCUCCGGCGGUAAAGGAUGGCCAUGCGCACGAUUAGCUAGUAGGUGAGGUAACGGCUCACCUAGGCUACGAUCGUUAGGGGGCCUGAGAGGGUUAUCCCCCACACUGGUACUGAGACACGGACCAGACUCCUACGGGAGGCAGCAGUGAGGAAUAUUGCGCAAUGGAGGCAACUCUGACGCAGCCAUGCCGCGUGCAGGAAGAAGGCGCUACGCGUUGUAAACUGCUUUUAACCGGGAAGAAACCCUCCGACGUGUCGGAGGUUGACGGUACCGGAGGAAUAAGCACCGGCUAACUUCGUG
rnacentral:rRNA from 1 species